CUUAUGUCUUGUAAUUGGAUGAUGGGAAUUUAAACCUCUUCCAGAGUAUCAAUUGGAGGGCAAGUCUGGUGCCAGCAGCCGCGGUAAUUCCAGCUCCAAUAGCGUAUAUUAAAAUUGUUGCAGUUAAAAAGCUCGUAGUUGAAUUUCUGCUGCAUUGCAUUUUCUCCUAUACGAGUUUUUGCAUUGUGGCUUAUUUCGGUUAUAAAAUUUAUUUUUAUUUCCGGAUGUUUACUUUGAGAAAAUUAGAGUGCUCAAAGCAGGCUUUUGCCUUGAAUAGUUUAGCAUGGAAUAAUAAAGUAGGACUUUGGUUCUAUUUUGUUGGUUUUAGGUACCAAAGUAAUGGUUAAUAGGAACAGUUGG
rnacentral:rRNA from 1 species